UACAGAGGUCUCAAGCGUUGUUCGGAUUCAUUGGGCGUAAAGGGUGCGUAGGUGGCGCGGUAAGUCGGGUGUGAAAUUUCGGAGCUUAACUCCGAAACUGCAUUCGAUACUGCCGUGCUUGAGAACUGGAGAGGAGACUGGAAUUUACGGUGUAGCAGUGAAAUGCGUAGAUAUCGUAAGGAAGACCAGUGGCGAAGGCGGGUCUCUGGACAGUUCCUGACACUGAGGCACGAAGGCCAGGGGAGCAAACGGG
rnacentral:rRNA from 1 species